rnacentral:lncRNA from 10 species
GUUUGAAUGGUGAGUAGGAGAGAGUAGUAUUGAUUGAAGAGGAAGAAAAGAGGCUCGAAUCAGGGACUCUCGCAAGGCGAGCCCCUGCUAGAGCGCUUCCCGCCUGCAGCUUGAAUCCCGGGUUCCACACAGGAAGAGGAGGGACCAGGCUCCUCCCUGCUCCAAAGGGCACGAACUUCUGUGUCUCCACCCCAGUGCGCAUUUCUCCUAGUGCGCAGGCUCGUUGGAGGUUUUCCGGGGACCCUUUCCAACCUGGCUGUCUCAAAGGGAACCAGAUUAUGCAAGGCUUUGUGUUCCAGCUUAGGCUAAACCAAGAACAACUUUAUCCUAAGGUCAAGAGGAAAUAUUUGAUAGGUUCUAAAGAAGGGAGGAGGAAACUGAGACCCAGGCAGAAGAAUUUGUUCUUCAAACUGCGAAAGCAGAGCUACCCCAAUUCAUCCACACACAUAGUAUUUCAGAGAAAAAAAGAAAACCCUAUGAUGGCAAGCAGUCAUAAGGAUGAAUGAGUGGCUUGAUCUCGGCUCAUUGCAACCUUCGCCUCCUGGGUUCAAGCAAUUCUACCUGCCUAGCCUCCCGAGUAGCUGGGAUUACAGGCACCCUGCAUCACAACGGCAUCACGCAUUCGAAUUUAGUAUUUUAGAGUGAUCUUAAUAGGUUUUCUACCAGGUGAACUACGUGGUCAUGGAAGCACUGUUGAUGGUGUGGCACUACUGCCUGUUCUUCAAAGAAAAAUUCAAACCCCUAUUGCCGGCUUUGAAAAUGGAAGAAGAAUGCCCUGAUUCAAGGAAUGUAGUGGCCUCUAGCAUUUGGCAAGGAGAAGAGAAGAAUGGAUUUAGAAAAAGGAAUUCGAUCCCCAAGUGUUCUCACCUACAAAAAGGAAUCAUGAUGGCUCCUACCUCAGAGGCUGGGGAAGAAGGGAAGGAACACACCCUCACAGGCUCUUCCCUGGCUGCAUUCAUGCACUGUGUCCCGCUUCUCAGUGGAACCAGCUAUCAGCACCAUGGACAGAACCCGGGAGAUUGGGUCCUCAGAGCAAGUAAAAUGAUUCAGGAGUGUCUGGCCAAGGCACUAACUACAGAGAUUUUUAUUUCAUGUGAAUAAACAGUUUUCUGUUUGACUUCAAGGCCAGGAUCCCGUUUUCCUUUUGCAGUUCUUCUGAGGAAGUUAAUGUUAAUGAGCACAAGAUGAAACUUAGCUUCAACAUGAUCUGUACUUUACACAUCAAAAUAAAGAAGAUUACCAACACAGUCACAGACACAGAAUGGAAGAUGCAUGGAUUCUCAGAUUGACGAAGCCCACCAAACUCUGAGCUCCUAGACAAAAAUGCUGUAGAACAACAAAGAAAAAGACAAAGUCAUACAAGCAGCCAUAAGGGAAGGACUGAUUAUCACAAAAUAAACACAAAUUAGACUGUAAGAAGACCUCUCUGCAGCACAGUAGAGAGGAGAAG